rnacentral:sRNA from 2 species
CUAUGGGAUGCAGUUUCAGUCCGUUGAAAGGCAAUGAUGGCUCUCCAAAAAGAAAUAGACCAACCGACUAUUACCCGGACUUCAAACGGCAUGGGGAAAACGCCACCAACGAAUGUGGCCUAAACGACAACAACAUGGAAAUAAAUGACGACCAGCCAGCAGAUUCUGUAGAAAAGAGAUGGUGUGAUGCUUCAAAUAAACGAAAACACCUGUCGCAUCGGAAAAAACAGAUUGACUCGGAGAUAAAACAGAUGAUCGAGCUAUUGAAUAAUGCUCGGGAAAACGAGCAAAGAAAACAAAAUAAACUAGGUCUAAGGUGUAUUAUAGAGAGAAACCAAACCGUGAAGGCCCAAAUUCGGCAGGACUUUACUGAUGGGGUUCGGCAAUUGGACGAGGCAAAUGCGGAGGAGGAGAGUUUUGACCCGAGUGUUGAUCUCAGGGAUUACGAUCAGGUUGCCAGAGCACUUCCGGUCUUUUGUGUGUCCUCCAAAGCAUAUCAAAAAUUGAAAGGGAGACUCCGUCGCGACCAUGCCGUCAAAGCAUUCUGUAAUACCGAGGAAACUGAGAUACCAGCUCUCCAAGCUCAUUGUCUGAGUUUGACCGUCGCUCAACGCAAAUCUGGCUGCCAAUCGUUCCUAAAUGGGCUACAACAGCUCGUGAACUCUUUGGAUCUGUUAUGUUCCAUUAGUGGUUCUUCAGAGUCCCUAUGCGAGGAGCGCAAAGAAAAUAACCGUAUUUUCCUGCAAAGUAGAUUGGAUGCUCUGCAACUGGACCUGGAGAAUCUAACUGGAGAACUUUUGGCUGAAAUCACCAGCGCCAUCAAGCGUAACAUUUUCGAUAAAUUUGGUUUCGCUUCAUCACAGGCUUGCAAUGAGGUUGAAAACACUCUUGAGGAAUGGCACCGUUCACGCAAAAUCUCUCCAGAAGGUCUCGCCUGGAACACUUAUAAAGCGAUUUGCAGACGCCAAGGGGUCUACAAGCAUCAU